rnacentral:pre_miRNA from 13 species
CAAUUUGUUUGGGGCAAAUCCUCAUUUAAUUAUAACAGACUCACACCUGAUUGCUUAGAAUCACCUAUUAUUGCAAACUCAACUACAUCAUUGACAUUGAAAAAUAAAAGACAACUUGUAUGUUAACACUAA